CCUACGGGAGGCAGCAGUGGGGAAUAUUGCACACUGGGGGAAACCCUGAUGCAGCGACGCCGCGUGAAGGAUGAAGUAUUUCGGUAUGUAAACUUCUAUCAGCAGGGAAGAAAAUGAAGGUACCUGACUAAGAAGCCACGGCUAACUACGUGCCAGCAGCCGCGGUAAUACGUAGGGGGCAAGCGUUAUCCGGAUUUACGGGGUGUAAAGGGAGCGUAGGAGGGAUGGAAAGUCUGAUGUGAAAACCCGGGGCUCAAACCCCGGACUGCAUUGGAAACUGGCAGGCUUGAGUUGCGGAGAGGCAAGUGGAAUUCCUGGUGUAGCGGUGAAAUGCGUAGAUAUUAGGAAGAACACCAGUGGCGAAGGCCGCUUUCUGGAC
rnacentral:rRNA from 1 species